rnacentral:rRNA from 1 species
GAUUGAACGCUGGCGGCAGGCCUAACACAUGCAAGUCGAGCGGUAGCACAGAGAGCUUGCUCUCGGGUGACGAGCGGCGGACGGGUGAGUAAUGUCUGGGAAACUGCCUGAUGGAGGGGGAUAACUACUGGAAACGGUAGCUAAUACCGCAUAAUGUCGCAAGACCAAAGUGGGGGACCUUCGGGCCUCAUGCCAUCAGAUGUGCCCAGAUGGGAUUAGCUAGUAGGUGGGGUAACGGCUCACCUAGGCGACGAUCCCUAGCUGGUCUGAGAGGAUGACCAGCCACACUGGAACUGAGACACGGUCCAGACUCCUACGGGAGGCAGCAGUGGGGAAUAUUGCACAAUGGGCGCAAGCCUGAUGCAGCCAUGCCGCGUGUGUGAAGAAGGCCUUCGGGUUGUAAAGCACUUUCAGCGGGGAGGAAGGCGAUAAGGUUAAUAACCUUGUCGAUUGACGUUACCCGCAGAAGAAGCACCGGCUAACUCCGUGCCAGCAGCCGCGGUAAUACGGAGGGUGCAAGCGUUAAUCGGAAUUACUGGGCGUAAAGCGCACGCAGGCGGUCUGUCAAGUCGGAUGUGAAAUCCCCGGGCUCAACCUGGGAACUGCAUUCGAAACUGGCAGGCUAGAGUCUUGUAGAGGGGGGUAGAAUUCCAGGUGUAGCGGUGAAAUGCGUAGAGAUCUGGAGGAAUACCGGUGGCGAAGGCGGCCCCCUGGACAAAGACUGACGCUCAGGUGCGAAAGCGUGGGGAGCAAACAGGAUUAGAUACCCUGGUAGUCCACGCCGUAAACGAUGUCGAUUUGGAGGUUGUGCCCUUGAGGCGUGGCUUCCGGAGCUAACGCGUUAAAUCGACCGCCUGGGGAGUACGGCCGCAAGGUUAAAACUCAAAUGAAUUGACGGGGGCCCGCACAAGCGGUGGAGCAUGUGGUUUAAUUCGAUGCAACGCGAAGAACCUUACCUGGUCUUGACAUCCACAGAACUUAGCAGAGAUGCUUUGGUGCCUUCGGGAACUGUGAGACAGGUGCUGCAUGGCUGUCGUCAGCUCGUGUUGUGAAAUGUUGGGUUAAGUCCCGCAACGAGCGCAACCCUUAUCCUUUGUUGCCAGCGGUUAGGCCGGGAACUCAAAGGAGACUGCCAGUGAUAAACUGGAGGAAGGUGGGGAUGACGUCAAGUCAUCAUGGCCCUUACGACCAGGGCUACACACGUGCUACAAUGGCAUAUACAAAGAGAAGCGACCUCGCGAGAGCAAGCGGACCUCAUAAAGUAUGUCGUAGUCCGGAUUGGAGUCUGCAACUCGACUCCAUGAAGUCGGAAUCGCUAGUAAUCGUAGAUCAGAAUGCUACGGUGAAUACGUUCCCGGGCCUUGUACACACCGCCCGUCACACCAUGGGGAGUGGGUUGCAAAAGAAGUAGGUAGCUUAACCUUCGGGAGGGCGCUUACCACUUUGUGAUCA